GAUCCAGCGUUGCUGUGAGCUGUGGUGUAGGUCGCAGAUUUGGCUCGGAUCGGGUGUGGCUGUGGCUGUGGUGUAGGUCGGCAGCUGCAGCUCUGAUUGGACCCCUAGCCUGGGGACCUCUAUAUGCUGCAGGUACAGCCCUCAAAAGCAAUAAAUAAAUAAAUAAAUAAAUAAUUGCUCUCUUUAAACACACCUGAAACCCAGCUCAGCACCUUCCAUGAAAUCCAGGGAUAGCAUUCCCUAAAAUAGCAUCACUGUUCUCUAGGUAGUUAGCUGUUCUCCCUGAAAGCUUCUCUCUUUUCCCUUCUGAUGCCACAGACUCCCAAAUCCUCAAGUCUCUUUUUAAAUGGACCUCCGACCUGCCAACACCAUCAGCCCAAUCAAGCAGCAGAUUUCUUAUCCACAUUUCACUUCCUUCCACCUUCUGAUAAGCCCAAUCAUUUCCAAACCUUGAUUGCAUUUUGGUUCUUGAGGCUGCAGCCAGCUGUGGUUAUUCUCAACUCUUGUUGUCACGGGGGAGGAGGGUAGACGUGGGCUAGCCCUGACUCAGCGAGGACCAGGAGAGAGGAGCCGAGUGUCCUCAGAGGCCUCGGGGAGGGGCGAGCCGCUGCAGUGGUCUGGUUCUGGCUGCAGCAGAGGUGAUGUGAAUCCCUGUUCGACUGUCCUUUUGGCCAGUGCUCUUCAAAGUCUGCUCAGGGAACAACGGGGGCUUGAGCUGGUUUGCAAAAGAAAAAACCCUGUGCUCUGAAACAUUUGGGAAACUCUGAGCAUCACUCAGAAUUAGUUCUUGUUUGCAAGCAUCACAAGCCAACUCUGCUAAUUUAAGCUUAAAAGGGAUUGAUUCUAAGGAUCUUGGGUAUCUCAUAGAAUCUCCUGCAGAAUCUGAACACCAAGGUCAGAGGCAGAGCCGCCAGGAACAAUGCCCAAAGUCAUACUGUGGCACUGGCCUCACUCAGGAAGACCCCACAGACACUGCCGCUGAACUCAUGCUUUAUACUUUAGCUUGUGCCACUGGCUCCGCCAGCACUGGAAGCCACUUCUAGAAUCGCCACCUUGCAGUUCCUGCUGUGGCGCACUGGGGGAAGAAUCUGACUGCUGCGGCUUGGGUUGCUGUGGAGGUGCAGGUUCGAUCCCCAGCCCUGCACAGUGGGUUAAAGGAUGCAGUGUUGCAUAGGUCGCAACUGUGGCCAGAAUUCAGUCUCUGGCCUGGGAACUUUCAUGUGCCAUGGGUGCAGCCCUAAAAAAAAGGGGGGGGAUUACCAUCACUGUAACCCCUGGAAACAGACGGUAACAGAUGCCACUACUGUUGCCACCAGAGUGGGAUCUUCACUGUCCCCGAUGCUUUGCGUCACGGUCUAGGGUUUUAGUGUGAGGUCAGGUGCCUGCUCAAGAGAGGCUGGGACAAUGUGCAUUUCACAUGUCAUGUUCAGUGUCUGUGCCAGGAGGCAGCCUCUGCUUCAACACACAGGGGAACUCCUUACACAUAGGCCGGGAGAGCCGGUGCUGGCGGGUCUGGAAGAAUGACCGCUGUUCAUUGCGGCCCCUGGACACCUGCCUCGGGCAUGUGCCAUCCUCCAGGACAGGCUCUGCCAUUCUCAGUACUGCUGACAUUUUGGACCGGACACUUCUUUGUGGGGGCCUAUCCUGGGCGUGGCAGGGUGUUUAACAGCAUCUAGGCCUCUACCCACUAGAUGCCAGUAGCACCCCUCCAGUUGUGACAGCUGUAAAUGUCUAAACACAUUGCCAAAUGUUCCCCUGGGGCAUCGAUUUGCCCCCAGCUGACAACAGCUGCUCCAGGAGCUUUGCAGGCAAAGUGUAAUGUGUUUGAGGAGGCAGGUUUGGUUUAACCUGGUUUCCCAAACUUCACUUGACCAUGGAAACAUUUUUUCUUUUUUUCCCCUCUAAUUCCCUGUGAACUUACUUAUUUCACAGACCUUAGCAGUGGCGCCUAUGAGGCUGGUACCUUGGGGCCUCAUUCCACACUCUCCAUGGAGGUAGGAGGGUGUACAGGCCAAAUGCACUCCGGGUCUCCCUGUCACCGCUUUCCCCACCUGCCACCCCCCUGAGCAAGGCUGGGGCUUCUUGGGGGCCAGCUGUGUGAGGACCCAUGCUCUGGGGGGUUAGUUGUGACCCUAGGAGACAUUCCUGGGGACCCAGGGAGGAGCCUGAAGAUGCCAUUCAAUGUGAAAGUCAGUCUUUCCCUCUUGGCCGUGAACCUGCCCUGCAGGUGCUGGUAUUGCUCUAACCACCAGGGACACACCUGCUGCCGCCGCCGGUGACAGCCCCUGCACCGUUUGGCAAAGAUCCCACAAGUUUCAGGCUCCAGCAAGCGCCGGUGGUCUCCAGUUCACCAGCCCAGCCUCCCAGUCUGUAUCCCCCUCAUGGUCACCAGGCCAAGGCCCUUGUUACUGCCCACCGAAUGCCCUGGACAUAAGGCCAAGACUGCCCGAACCCAGGAACUAGCCCCACCACUGGGAUGCAGGAUGGGGGGGUCACAGGCCGCUGAAGGGUGGGGCCACCACCCUCUGGCCUUACCUUUGAAGCUACUGCUGCCAGGCUGGGGAAGCAUGUAACCUUGGCAGCUCAGCGGUCCAUUCUGGAGACUUCUGCAAUCCGGCAGUUCCUCCAUAAGGAUGGCUCCGCUCCUGCACGCAGCUUCACAUGCAAAGCUCCCUUAUGUGUCUCUUAGUGACCUUGACUCUUAACCUUGGGACACUGGUCCUUUGGAAACAGAAUAGCGUCAGGGUUAGACAAACAAACCUGUGUUUGAUCUUGGUUGUACCGCUGCAUAUCAGAGUGAUUUUGAUUAAAGCUCUUUUAGAACUUUUAAUUUCAUCCUCCCCAUACAUUUUUAAAAAGCACUUUUCCUGUUCCCACAUUGGAUAAUUCUAGAUUUUAGGCAUUAACAGGUGGCUCCUGGGGGAGUCUCACUGAAGACCUCCUGGGAUUGAGGGACUCAGGCUCUGGACCCCAGGGUGCAUCUUCAUGGGGCAGGGGAGACAACUG
rnacentral:lncRNA from 1 species